rnacentral:rRNA from 1 species
AUGUUGCAAAGGAACCUGCCGAGUCUCUCCCUCCGGAUAAGCCCGCCGGCCGGCUCGUCGACGGCAUCCUCAGGCCCACCCGCAGCGGUGGGGAAGCCACUGCGGUCGACGGAACCAGCCGCGGGGACUGACGCGGAGGGAAGCGGCGAGGUAGGGUUCUUUGCAAACCCUAGCCCCGGCGCCGAUCCCCCGGGCCUGAGCCUGGGGCUCGGGGCGCCGACGAUGCGCGCCGACGCAGGCCGCUCGCAGGCGCCGCAGGGAUGCGCGUUCAAGCGCGCGGCCGCCGGCAGGGCUUCGCAGCCCGGCGGCUCGAAGAGGAGCGUCCGGGCGCCGCGGAUGCGGUGGACCACCGCGCUACACGCGCGGUUCAUGCACGCCGUCCAGCUCCUCGGCGGCCACGAGAGAGCGACGCCGAAGUCGGUGCUGGAGCUGAUGAACGUCAAGGAUCUGACGCUGGCGCACGUCAAGAGCCACCUGCAGAUGUAUAGGACGGUGAAGGGCACAGACAGAUCGUCGCACGUCGCCACAGGCGAGCAGCAGAUGGUGGUGGUGGACGCAGGAGGAAGAGGAUGCGGUGGCGGUGGCGGUGGUGGAGUGGUGGCGAUGCUGGCUGCUUGUGAUGUCGACAUGGCUGGCUUCUGCGGCGCGCCUGCGGCAGCCGCGGCAUCUGCGCCGCCUGCCGCGACGACUAGUUCCGCUGCGCAUUUCCUCUGUGCGUCAGCAACAGGAGCGGCAGCAGCUGCAGCGGCUUCACUGGUGGCACUGGUACCGUCGCCUCCUCCUCCACCCAUCCCCCCGAGGAGAGCUGACCUCGCAGCAGUGGCGCUCGAGAAAGGCGUCGCCAUUGUUGAUCCAUUGCACCGGUGUCAGAAGCUUGAUUACUCAGCAGCGUUCCAAGAUACUCCUCAGGAAGCUAAAGAGGAGGCGGCCGGUCACCUGCCGAUGGGGGUACAUGGGAGCGUGGAGGGGGCGAUCUCUGGGAACUACUGUUCAAGCCCUGCGAGCUCGUCUCCAUCUCUUGCAAGCUUCGAGCUGCUGGCGGACGACACCUUCGCGCCCAACCUGGAGAUAUCGCUUGGGAGGCACGACUGGGGCAUGGAGCACCCCGAAGAACUCAGCCUAAAAUACCUGUGA